rnacentral:rRNA from 1 species
GUAGGGAAUAUUGCGCAAUGGGGGAAACCCUGACGCAGCGACGCCGCGUGAGUGAUGAAGGCCUUCGGGUCGUAAAGCUCUGUUGCAGGGGAAUAAAAAAAUGAAGGUACCCUGUGAGGAAGGAUCGGCUAACUUCGUGCCAGCAGCCGCGGUAAGACGAGGGAUCCUAGCGUUGCUCGGAAUCAUUGGGCGUAAAGAGGGCGGAGGUGGCUUGGUAAGUCAGGUGUGAAAGCCCAGGGCUCAACCCUGGAAGUGCAUUUGAUACUGCUGAGCUUGAGUGUCGGAGAGGUUACCGGAAUACCUGGUGUAGUGGUGAAAUACGUAGAUAUCAGGUGGAACACCGGAGGCGAAGGCGGGUAACUGGACGAACACUGACACUGAGGCCCGAAAGCGUGGGGAUCAAACAGGAUUAGAAACCCUGGUAGUCC